AGGGCCACAGGGUCGACGCCGCGAGUGACCACCAGAUAGUCGCGCAGCACGAUGCUGUGACGGCCUUC
rnacentral:sRNA from 1 species